GAUGACGUCGCCCAGUCUGGUCCAGGGCGCUUCCCUGUCACGGAAGAGGUCGCGGGUUCGAAUCCCGUCGUCAUCG
rnacentral:tRNA from 1 species